rnacentral:rRNA from 1 species
UACAGAGGGUGCAAGCGUUGUUCGGAAUUAUUGGGCGUAAAGAGCUCGUAGGCGGUUUGUCGCGUCUGCCGUGAAAGUCCGGGCUCAACUCCGGAUCUGCGGUGGGUACGGGCAGACUAGAGUGAUGUAGGGGAGACUGGAAUUCCUGGUGUAGCGGUGAAAUGCGCAGAUAUCAGGAGGAACACCGAUGGCGAAGGCAGGUCUCUGGGCAUUAACUGACGCUGAGGAGCGAAAGCAUGGGGAGCGAACAGG